rnacentral:rRNA from 1 species
UACUGCUCAGUAACACACUGCUCAGUAACACGUGAUCAACUUACCCUAUGGAGGGAAAUAACCUCGGGAAACUGAGGAUAAUAUUCCAUAAUUGAGGAUGCCUGGAAUGGUUUCUCAAUGAAAAAAUAAUUCGAAUGGGAAUUAUAUUGCCAUAGGAUAGGAUUGCGACCGUUUAUGGUUGUUGGCGAGGUAAUGGCUCACCAAGCCUAUUAUCGGUAAGGGCCGUGAGAGCGGGAGCCCUGAGAUGGGUACUGAGACAAUGACCCAGGUCUUACGAGACGCAGCAGGCGCGAAACCUUCACAAUGCACGAAAGUGUGAUGAGGUUACCCGGAGUGCCACACAAGUGGCUGUGGCGAGUGAGUAAGAUUCCUCGCUAGGAAGGAGAGGGCAAGGCUGGUGCCAGCCGCCGCGGUAAAACCAGCUCUUCAAGUGGUCGGGAGUUUUAUUGGGCUUAAAGUGUCCGUAGCCGGUUUAGUAAGUUCCUGGUUAAAUCUGAUAGCUUAACUAUCUGUUUGCUAGGAAUACUACUAUACUAGGGGGCGGGAGAGGUCUGAGGUACUCCAGGGGUAGCGGUGAAAUGCUAUAAUCCUUGGGGGACCACCAGUGGCGAAGGCGUCAGACUGGAACGCGCCCGACGGUGAGGGACGAAAGCCAGGGGAGCGAACCGGAUUAGAUACCCGGGUAGUCCUGGCCGUAAACGAUGCGUGCUAGGUGUUGGUAUGGCUAUGAGCCGUAUCAGUGCC